UGACGUGGAGGGCUGGAGGUGGCGGCGGCGGCGGCGGCGGCUGCUGCUGCUGCCCGCGUCCGAGGCUCGCGGGCGGCGGGCCCGGGUGAGUGCACACCCGGCGCGCUGCCGGGCUCCCGGAUGUGUCACCUUGUCCCGCUGCAGCCGAGAUGCCGGGGGAGCGGGGCCUUCCACACCCCCUCCGUGGGUGUGUGAAAUGCACUCGGUGAUGGAAAGAGAGCCACUAUUCUGAAGAACACUUGGCCAAAGGUCGAACAGCAAAUAAGGAUCCAAUUAAAGCCUUUUAUGAAAACAGGGCCUACACACCUAGGAGUUUAUCAGCACCUAUAUUUACUACUUCACUUAACUUUGUGGAGAAGGAAAGAGAUUUCAGAAAAAUUAAUCACGAAAUGGCCAACGGUGGUAAUCAGAAUCUAAAGGCGGCGGAUGAGGCGUUGAAGGUAGAUGAUUGUGACUGUCAUCCUGAAUUUUCACCACCAUCAAGUCAGCCUCCAAAACAUAAAGGAAAACAAAAAUCUCGAAACAAUGAAUCAGAGAAGUUCAGUUCUAGUUCACCAUUGACUUUACCAGCAGAUUUGAAGAACAUCUUGGAGAAACAGUUUUCUAAAUCUUCCAGAGCUGAACACCAGGAUUUUGCUAAUAUAAUGAAAAUGCUGAGAAGCUUGAUUCAAGAUGGCUAUAUGGCCUUAUUGGAGCAGCGUUGCCGCAGCGCCGCACAGGCCUUUACAGAGUUGCUGAACGGUUUAGAUCCUCAAAAAAUAAAGCAAUUGAACCUGGCCAUGAUUAACUAUGUUUUGGUCGUCUAUGGACUUGCCAUUUCUCUCCUUGGAAUAGGACAGCCUGAGGAAUUAUCUGAAGCCGAAAACCAGUUUAAGAGGAUUAUUGAACACUACCCCAGUGAGGGCCUUGAUUGCUUGGCCUACUGUGGAAUUGGAAAAGUAUAUUUGAAAAAAAACAGAUUUCUAGAAGCUCUCAAUCACUUUGAGAAAGCAAGAACCUUGAUUUAUCGUCUUCCUGGAGUGUUAACUUGGCCCACGAGUAAUGUGAUUAUUGAAGAGUCUCAGCCACAAAAAAUAAAGAUGCUGUUAGAGAAAUUUGUUGAAGAAUGCAAGUUCCCUCCAGUGCCAGAUGCCAUUUGUUGCUAUCAGAAGUGCCAUGGAUAUUCUAAGAUCCAGAUAUACAUAACUGAUCCAGACUUUAAGGGUUUUAUACGCAUCAGCUGUUGCCAGUACUGUAAAAUAGAAUUUCACAUGAAUUGCUGGAAGAAGUUAAAAACUACAACCUUUAAUGAUAAAAUUGACAAGGAUUUUCUACAAGGAAUAUGUCUUACCCCUGACUGUGAAGGUGUCAUUUCUAAGAUUAUCAUCUUCAGCAGUGGUGGUCAAGUUAAAUGUGAAUUUGAACACAAGGUCAUAAAAGAAAAGGUUCCUCCAAGACCUAUUCUGAAACAGAAAUGUUCUAGCCUAGAGAAACUAAGACUGAAAGAAGACAAAAAAUUGAAGAGAAAGAUCCAAAAAAAAGAAGCAAAAAAGGUGGC
rnacentral:sRNA from 1 species